GUCGUGAGAUGUUGGGUUAAGUCCCGCAACGAGCGCAACCCUUGUCAUUAGUUGCUACAUUCAGUUGGGCACUCUAAUGAGACUGCCGGUGACAAACCGGAGGAAGGUGGGGAUGACGUCAAGUCCUCAUGGCCCUUAUGGGUAGGGCUUCACACGUAAUACAAUGGCGCGUACAGAGGGCUGCUAAGCCGCGAGGUAGAGCCAAUCCCUUAAAGCGCGUCGUAGUCCGGAUUGCAGUCUGCAACUCGACUGCAUGAAGUCGGAAUCGCUAGUAAUCGCGGAUCAGCAUGUCGCGGUGAAUACGUUCCCGGGUCUUGUACACACCGCCCGUCACACCAUGGGAGUGGGUUUCACCAGAAGCCGGUCGCCUAACCGCAAGGGGGGCGCCGACCACGGUGAGAUUCAUGACUGGGGUGAAGUCGUAACAAGGUAGCCGUAUCGGAAGGUGCGGCUGGAUCACCUCCUUUCUAAGACAAGCCCCGCAGUACCCACCAUCUAUCGGCUGUUCUUCACGAACGGCAGCUGCAUGAAAAACACAGCGACCCAGGCGGGUCUGUAGCUCAGUUGGUUAGAGCACCGUCUUGAUAAGGCGGGGGUCGAUGGUUCGAAUCCAUCCAGACCCACCACCAUUAGCGUCAACGCGGGGCCAUAGCUCAGCUGGGAGAGCGCCUGCUUUGCAAGCAGGAGGUCACCGGUUCGAUCCCGGUUGGCUCCACCAGCACCAGAUCACGAGGGACCAGCAAUCAAUCGCGCGCGCGAGGUUGAUUGGUGCUUCCUCGAAGUUCGCACUACCGAAGCAUCGAUCGGCUGCUCUUUAACAAUCUGGAAUAGAAGGUAGUUGUUCUCGCGAAAGCCUGGUUGUGAUGACUGGGCGAGUAGUGGGGACACUGGGUUAUGUAUUGCAUCGUGUCUUCACGACUAACCCUCGUGGAGAUGCACAAGCGUGAGAAUUACUUAUGGCUUUGUGAUGGCGCGGGUGACUUUGACGCGUGCCGCUUCGAUAAGAGGCAGCAAGGUUAUAGGGUCAAGCGAAUAAGUGCAUGUGGUGGAUGCCUUGGCAAUGAUAGGCGACGAAGGACGUGACAGCCUGCGAUAAGCUGCGAGGAGCCGGCAAAUGGGCGCUGAUCCGCAGAUUU
rnacentral:sRNA from 1 species